rnacentral:rRNA from 1 species
AGAGUUUGAUCCUGGCUCAGGACGAACGCUGGCGGCGUGCCUAACACAUGCAAGUCGAGCGGGGACAUGCGACGGAGACAAAGUACUCGUACGGAGUCAAAGAUGUAUGUUCUAGCGGCGGACGGGUGAGUAACGCGUGAGCAACCUGUCCCUUACAGGGGGAUAACACAGCGAAAGUUGUACUAAUACCGCAUGAGACCACAGCAUCACAUGGUGCAGGGGUCAAAGGAGCAAUCCGGUAAGGGGUGGGCUCGCGUCCGAUUAGAUAGUUGGUGAGGUAACGGCCCACCAAGUCGACGAUCGGUAGCCGACCUGAGAGGGUGAUCGGCCACAUUGGGACUGAGACACGGCCCAAACUCCUACGGGAGGCAGCAGUGGGGAAUAUUGGGCAAUGGGGGGAACCCUGACCCAGCAACGCCGCGUGAGGGAAGAAGGUUUUCGGAUCGUAAACCUCUGUCCCAGGUGAAGAGUGAGAGACGGUAGCCUGGGAGGAAGCCCCGGCUAACUGCGUGCCAGCAGCCGCGGUAAUACGUAGGGGGCGAGCGUUGUCCGGAAUGAUUGGGCGUAAAGGGCGCGUAGGCGGCCCGGUAAGUCUGGAGUGAAAGUCCUGCUUUUAAGGUGGGAAUUGCUUUGGAUACUGUCGGGCUUGAGUGCAGGAGAGGUAAGUGGAAUUCCCAAUGUAUCGGUGAAAUGCGUAGAGAUUGGGAGGAACACCAGUGGCGAAGGCGACUUACUGGACUGUAACUGACGCUGAGGCGCGAAAGUGUGGGGAGCAAACAGGAUUAGAUACCCUGGUAGUCCACACUGUAAACGAUGAAUGCUAGGUGUAGGGGGUAUCGACCCCUUCUGUGCCGCAGUAAACACAAUAAGCAUUCCGCCUGGGGAGUACGGCCGCAAGGUUGAAACUCAAAGGAAUUGACGGGGGCCCGCACAAGCAGUGGAGUAUGUGGUUUAAUUCGAAGCAACGCGAAGAACCUUACCAGGUCUUGACAUCCAACUAACGAGAUAGAGAUAUGUUAGGUGCCCUUCGGGGAAAGUUGAGACAGGUGGUGCAUGGUUGUCGUCAGCUCGUGUCGUGAGAUGUUGGGUUAAGUCCCGCAACGAGCGCAACCCUUGCUAUUAGUUGCUACGCAAGAGCACUCUAAUAGGACUGCCGUUGACAAAACGGAGGAAGGUGGGGACGACGUCAAAUCAUCAUGCCCCUUAUGACCUGGGCUACACACGUACUACAAUGGUCGUCAACAGAGGGACGCAAAGCCGCGAGGCGGAGCAAAUCCCUAAAAACGAUCUCAGUUCAGAUUGUAGGCUGAAACUCGCCUAUAUGAAGAUGGAAUUGCUAGUAAUCGCAGAUCAGCAUGCUGCGGUGAAUACGUUCCCGGGCCUUGUACACACCGCCCGUCACACCAUGGGAGCCGGUAAUACCCGAAGUCAGUAGCCCAACCGCAAGGAGGACGCUGCCGAAGGUAGGAUUGGCGACUGGGGUGAAGUCGUAACAAGGUAACC